rnacentral:rRNA from 1 species
GCUGGCGGCAGGCUUAACACAUGCAAGUCGAACGAGAAACUAGACUUCGGUCUAGUGGAAAGUGGCAGACGGGUGAGUAACGCGUGGGAAUCUACCUUUGAGUGGGGAAUAACAACUAGAAAUGGUUGCUAAUACCGCAUAUACCCUUCGGGGGAAAGGCUUCGGCCGCUCUUAGAUGAGCCCGCGUACGAUUAGUUUGUUGGUAAGGUAAAGGCUUACCAAGACUACGAUCGUUAGCUGGUUUGAGAGGAUGAUCAGCCACACUGGGACUGAGACACGGCCCAGACUCCUACGGGAGGCAGCAGUGGGGAAUAUUGGACAAUGGGCGAAAGCCUGAUCCAGCCAUGCCGCGUGAGUGAAGAAGGCCUUAGGGUUGUAAAACUCUUUCGGCAGGGAAGAUAAUGACGGUACCUGCAGAAGAAGCUCCGGCUAACUCCGUGCCAGCAGCCGCGGUAAUACGGAGGGGGCAAGCGUUGCUCGGAAUUACUGGGCGUAAAGCGAGCGUAGGCGGUUAAUCAAGUUGGUGGUGAAAGCCCAGAGCUUAACUCUGGAACUGCCAUCAAAACUGGUUGACUAGAGAUUGGUAGAGGAAAAUGGAAUUCCUAGUGUAGAGGUGAAAUUCGUAGAUAUUGGGAAGAACACCAGUGGCGAAGGCGAUUUUCUGGGCCAAUUCUGACGCUGAGGUUCGAAAGCGUGGGUAGCAAACAGGAUUAGAUACCCUGGUAGUCCACGCCGUAAACGAUGAGUGCUAGACGUCGGAAACUAGUUUUUCGGUGUCGUAGUUAACGCAUUAAGCACUCCGCCUGGGGAG